UAAAACGUAGGACGCAAGCGUUAUCCGGAGUUACUGGGCGUAAAGCGCGGGCAGGCGGUCUUGCCAGUCUGAUGUGAAAUCUCUCCGCUCAACGGGGAGCAGCCAUUGGAAACUACAAGACUGGAGUCUGACAGAGGUAGGCGGAAUUCCGGGUGGAGUGGUGAAAUGCGUAGAGAUCCGGAGGAACACCAGAGGCGAAGGCGGCCUACUGGGUCAGUACUGACGCUGAGCCGCGAAAGCCAGGGGAGCGAACGGGAUUAGAAACCCCGGUAGUCCUGGCCGUAAACGAUGUGUGCUGGGUGGUGGGGGGUUUCCCUUCACUGCCGAAGCUAACGCGAUAAGCACACCGCCUGGGGAGUACGGUCGCAAGGCUA
rnacentral:rRNA from 1 species